GACAGAGGAUGCAAGCGUUAUCCGGAAUGAUUGGGCGUAAAGCGUCUGUAGGUGGCUUUUUAAGUCUGCCGUCAAAUCCCAGGGCUUAACCCUGGACAGGCGGUGGAAACUACCAAGCUGGAGUACGGUAGGGGCAGAGGGAAUUUCCGGUCGGAGCGGUGAAAUGCGUAGAGAUCGGAAAGAACACCGGUGGCGAAGGCGGGUCUCUGGGCCGUAACUGACGCUGAGGAGCGAAAGCAUGGGGAGCGAACAGG
rnacentral:rRNA from 1 species